CCUCAGCCAUGUGGAACUGACAGGGGGAUUUCUUGGAAUAUGGUAGUGCUGUUCAGUGUUAAACCAGGAUGGCUGGCCACUGCUCCCAGAUGCUGCUUGUCUCGGAACCACACUUUGAAUCAAUUUUCUUCAAGGCCCCUUUCAGUUCUGAAAGUUCAGGACCCUGCAGUGUAGCACACUGCUAAUCCUCUCUCAUCUUCUCCAGGAAGCUUUCUAAAGCCUGCUUCUGUAAGGUUCUCUGGACCCAAAGUCACAUACUGGGAAGGAAGAGAAGCCUUUGGAUAAACAUCAUGAAUUUUCCUGGAGCAACUGUUCUAUUUAAGAUUUUAUAUAAUAUUUUUUGGAAAGAAGGGAAUAGGUUUUAAAAAAUAUUUUCAAAAGUGUAACAUCCAUCUAUGCUCAUUUUAGACAAUUUGAUCAGUAUAAAAUAUUAAAUAAGAACGUUAAAAACCACUUGGACUCUUACCUAUCAUAAAUAACCACUGUAUUACUGGAUUUUGGUGAAUAUCUUUUAAUUGUGUGUGUUUGUGAGUAUGUGUUUGUAAUCAGAUUUUUUUAAAUUUGAGGCUAUAUUCUAGUCAGCUUUUUAUGUCAAUGGAUUUAAGAAUAUGUUACAUCACUUUAAAUGUAAUGUAUGGAUAUACCACAAUUUAUUUAACUAAUACCCUAUUAAUGAAUAUUUAAGAUGUUUUCUUUUCUUUUUUUUUUGAGAUAAAGUCUCACUCUGUUGCCCAGGCUGGAGUGCAGUGGCGUGAUCUGGGCUCACUGCAACCUCCACCUCCUGAGUUCAAGUUGAUUCUCCUGCUCAGCCUCCCGAGUAGCUGGGAUUACAGACACGCACCACCAUGCCCAGCUAAUUUUUGUAUUUUUAGUAGAGACAGGGUUUCACCAUGUUGGCCAGGCUGAGCUUGAACUCCUGACCUCAGAAGAUCCGCCCACCUAGGCCUCCCAAAGUGCUGGGAUUACAGGCGUGAGCCACGCUUCCAGCCAGGAUGUUUUCAAUGAAAAAAGAUUUUUGAUGAUGUUGUUAUGAAACAUUCUUUAAUAUAUAUACUUGCCUACUUAUUCAAUUAUUUCUUUAUGGCAAAUUCCUACAAAAUGAGUCACAGAAAGUAUUUAUUUUGGUAGCUGAACACACACACACGCUCGUAUAGAUAUAUUCACACAUACACAUACACACAUGUAUACAUACGUAUGUAUGUGUAUAUAUAGACCUAUUCACAUGUACACACAUAUAUACAUACAUAUGUAUGUGUACAUAUAUAUAUAUAAAGUCAAAAAUGUUUUAAACUUAAAUAUGGUUGUUACUUCUUGAGAAGAGACUGGGAUUGGGGAUGCAGUCAGAGGAAUUUGACCAAACCUAUAAUCUUUUAGUUUUUUCACAGGGAGAAAAUAUAUGUAUAACUUAAAAUUAGUUAAAAUUAAGGGUAACAAUAACCAAAAAUGGACAAGAUAAAGUAGUUAUCAAGUGGCAAUCACACAUCAUUGCAAAUAAAAUGAUCUGCUUCCUUUUGCUGAAAAUACUUAACGGUAACUACUGGAAGAAUAGAAAUACGAUAUGUAAAUGUUAAACUGCUGAAAGAAAAAAACAAAGGGAACCAGGACACCUAAAACCUUGAUUAAUCCAACAAAAGUAAGAAAUGAAAAAAUUAAAAGAAACAACAAGAAAGCGCAUAACUAAAAAGUACAAGCAUGUGGACAAAUAUGUCCAAAUAUGCCAAUAUUUGGAAUUAAUAUGAUUUGGUUAAUGUGUCUAUUAAAAGAUGGCAACUCUCUGGAUAACAAAACCAAAUGCAGUUAUAUGUUACUUAAAAGGGACACACAUGAAAAAAUGACACAAAGUUUCAAAAUAAAGGAGUGGAAAAGAUGUAUUAACUAAGGAAAUGCUGGCACCAAGAAGUAGAUAUGCCAAUAUUAAUAUAAGAUAAAAUGAAUCCAAAGCCCAAAGAAUUCAUGGUCACAGAAGACUAUUUAUUUAUUUCUUUAUUUAGAGAUGGGGUCUUGCUCUGUCACCCAGGCUGGAGUGCAGUGGCAUGAUCUUGGCUCACUGCAAUCUCCAUCUCCCAGGUUCAAGCAAUUCUCCUGCCUCAGCCUCCCAAGUAGCUGGGAUUACAGGUGUAUGCCACCAUGCCCAGCUAAUUUUGUAUUUUUAGUAGAGACGGGGUUUCUCCAUGUUGGCCAGGCUGGCCUCGAACUCCUGACCUCAAGUGAUCUGCCCGCCUUGGCCUCCCAAAGUGCUGGGACUACAGGCGUGAGCCACCGUGCCUGGCCAAAGAAGACUUUUUUUUAUUUUGUUCGUGUCCACCCAUGAACCUUUGUGCAUAGCUCCAAAAUGUAUAAAGCAAAGAUGAUAGGACAAGUAGACAAAAAAUAACCCAAGGAUUGAGAGGUGCACUUUCCAAUAUAGUAGCCACUAGCCACACAGUAUAGCCAGUAGUCACUAGGUUAUUUAAUACUUCAAAUAUGGCUAAUCCACGUUGAAAUGUGCUAUAAAGUGUAAAACAUACAUUGGAUUUCAAAGACUUGGUAUGAAAAAAUAAAGUAAAAUAGCUCGAAUAUUUUAAAUAUUGAUUAUAUUUUGAAAAGAUCAUACUUUAGAUAUGAGUUAAAUAAAAUCUAUUAAAAUUAUGAGAACUUAUGAACACAAAGAAGGAAACAACGACACUGGGGUCUUCUUGAGGGUGGAGGUUGGGAGGAGGGAGAGGAGCAGAAAAGAUAAAUAUUGGGUAGUGAGCUUAAUUCCUGGGUGAUGAAAUGAUCUGUAUGACAAACCUCUGUGACAUGAGUUUAUAUAUGUAACACACCUUCACAUGUACCCUCAAACCUACAAUAAAAGUUAAAAAAGAUUGCAACCUAAAAUAAAUGGAUAAAUAAAAUCUGUUAAAAUUAAU
rnacentral:lncRNA from 10 species